ensembl:Y_RNA Y_RNA Y RNA
GGCUGGUCCGAGUGCAGUGAUAUUUACAACAAAUUGAUCACAAGCUAACAGAUUUAUUUGUUCCUCUUCCAUUCCUACUGUUUCACUUGACUAGCCUUAA